rnacentral:rRNA from 1 species
AACGAACGCUGGCGGCAUGCCUAACACAUGCAAGUCGAACGAGACCUUCGGGUCUAGUGGCGCACGGGUGCGUAACGCGUGGGAACCUGCCCUUAGGUUCGGAAUAACUCCCCGAAAGGGGUGCUAAUACCGGAUAAUGUCUUCGGACCAAAGACUUAUCGCCUUUGGAUGGGCCCGCGUUGGAUUAGCUAGUUGGUAGGGUAAAAGCCUACCAAGGCGAUGAUCCAUAGCUGGGCUGAGAGGAUGAUCAGCCACACUGGGACUGAGACACGGCCCAGACUCCUACGGGAGGCAGCAGUGGGGAAUAUUGGACAAUGGGCGAAAGCCUGAUCCAGCAAUGCCGCGUGAGUGAUGAAGGCCUUAGGGUUGUAAAGCUCUUUUACCCGGGAUGAUAAUGACAGUACCGGGAGAAUAAGCUCCGGCUAACUCCGUG